rnacentral:rRNA from 1 species
GAUGAACGCUGGCGGCGUGCCUAAUACAUGCAAGUCGAGCGAAUGGAUUAAGAGCUUGCUCUUAUGAAGUUAGCGGCGGACGGGUGAGUAACACGUGGGUAACCUGCCCAUAAGACUGGGAUAACUCCGGGAAACCGGGGCUAAUACCGGAUAACAUUUUGAACCGCAUGGUUCGAAAUUGAAAGGCGGCUUCGGCUGUCACUUAUGGAUGGACCCGCGUCGCAUUAGCUAGUUGGUGAGGUAACGGCUCACCAAGGCAACGAGGCGUAGCCGAGCUGAGAGGGUGAUCGGCCACACUGGGACUGAGACACGGCCCAGACUCCUACGGGAGGCAGCAGUAGGGAAUCUUCCGCAAUGGACGAAAGUCUGACGGAGCAACGCCGCGUGAGUGAUGAAGGCUUUCGGGUCGUAAAACUCUGUUGUUAGGGAAGAACAAGUGCUAGUUGAAUAAGCUGGCACCUUGACGGUACCUAACCAGAAAGCACGGCUAACUACGUGCCAGCCGCCGCCGUAA